rnacentral:rRNA from 1 species
UACGGAGGGGGCGAGCGUUAUUCGGAAUUAUUGGGCGUAAAGGGCGCGUAGGCGGCUGUACAAGUCAAAGGUGAAAUCCCUCGGCUCAACUGAGGAACUGCCUUUGAAACUGUACGGCUUGAGGCCGGGAGGGGGUAGCGGAAUUCCCAAUGUAGCGGUGAAAUGCGUAGAUAUUGGGAGGAACACCAGUGGCGAAGGCGGCUACCUGGACCGAGACUGACGCUGAGGCGCGAAAGCGUGGGGAGCAAACAGG